rnacentral:rRNA from 1 species
UACAGAGGUCUCGAGCGUUAGGCGGAAUUACUGGGCGUAAAGCGCGCGUAGGCGGCUUUGCAAGUCGGGUGUGAAAUCCCCAGGCUUAACCUGGGAACUGCAUUCGAGACUGCAUUGCUAGAGUAUGGGAGAGGGAAGUGGAAUUUCCGGUGUAGCGGUGAAAUGCGUAGAUAUCGGGAGGAACACCGGUGGCGAAGGCGGCAUCCUGGACCGACACUGACGCUGAGGAGCGAAAGCCAGGGGAGCAAACGGG